AACGAACGCUGGCGGCAUGCCUAACACAUGCAAGUCGAACGAGACCUUCGGGUCUUGUGGCGCACGGGUGCGUCACGCGUGGGAACCUGCCCUUAGGUUUGGAAUAACUCUCCGACAGGGGUGCUAAUACCGGAUAAUGUCUUCGGACCAAAGAUUUAUCGCCCUUGGUUGGGCCCGCGUUGGAUUCGCUUGUUGGGAGGGUAAAAGCUUACCACGGCGACGAUUCAUAGCUGGGUUGAGAGGAUGGUCAGCCACACUUGGAGUGGGACACGGCCCAGACUCCUACGGGAGGCAGCAGAGCGGAAUAGAGGACAGUGGGCGGAGGCAUGAUGGAGCAAUGCCGGGUGAGCGAUGAAGGCCGGAGGGAAGUAAAGCGCAUGUACCCGGGAUGAUAAUGACAGUACCUGGAGAAUAAGCUCCGGCUAACUCCGUG
rnacentral:rRNA from 1 species